rnacentral:rRNA from 1 species
GACGAACGCUGGCGGCGUGCCUAAUACAUGCAAGUUGAGCGCUGAAGGUUGGUACUUGUACCAACUGGAUGAGCAGCGAACGGGUGAGUAACGCGUGGGGAAUCUGCCUUUGAGCGGGGGACAACAUUUGGAAACGAAUGCUAAUACCGCAUAAAAACUUUAAACACAAGUUUUAAGUUUGAAAGAUGCAAUUGCAUCACUCAAAGAUGAUCCCGCGUUGUAUUAGCUAGUUGGUGAGGUAAAGGCUCACCAAGGCGAUGAUACAUAGCCGACCUGAGAGGGUGAUCGGCCACAUUGGGACUGAGACAAGGCCCAAACUCCUACGGGAGGCAGCAGUAGGGAAUCUUCGGCAAUGGACGAAAGUCUGACCGAGCAACGCCGCGUGAGUGAAGAAGGUUUUCGGAUCGUAAAACUCUGUUGGUAGAGAAGAACGUUGGUGAGAGUGGAAAGCUCAUCAAGUGACGGUAACUACCCAGAAAGGGACGGCUAACUACGUG